rnacentral:lncRNA from 1 species
UCAGUGGCCGAUAUAUGGUACUGUUUCUCCCAUAGCCAAGAUUCAGGAGUCCAGGAAUCAAGGGGUGGAAAUGGAAGUGGCACGACUCACCAACACCCCUAGAGAUCCACUGGCAAAAUUUUUGCUUCCUGUUCCCAUGACAUUAUAUUUUGCUGGCCUAAAGGUCUUAGUUCCAGAGGGAGAAACACUGCCGCCAGGAGACACAACAACGAUUCCAUUCAAUUAGAAGUUAAGAUUGCCACUUGGACACUUUGGGCUUCUCCUACCUUGAAGUCAACAGGCUAAGAAGAGAGUUACUUGGCUGGGGCGAUUGACCCAGAUUAUCAAGAUGAAAUCAGUCUACUACUCCACAACUGAGACAAGUAAAUAGGAAACUCACAAUUUUUCCAGCAAAACUUGUAUGUGAAAAUAUAAGCAAAAUGAUAAAUGUGACUGGCCGACAAGCAAAAAACAUUGUUUACCAUCAAACAGCACCAAAACUUCUGGCUGUGUUAUUACCAAUUUGAAUGGACCUUUGCCGAAAGUCCCUGAAGCCAAGCCACACUGCUAACUGAUGAGAGACCAGCUUGAAAGAGGGAGGACCUGCCAAUUGCCAUCAGCACAACUCCAGAUAUAUGGGAGUCAGGUGAUCAUAAACCAUCCAUUUUCUGCUGAGUCACAGUAGACUGCAACUCCAUGAAUGAGACAAGGAGGUGUCGGUAAAAACAAAACAAAACAAAACAAAGCAAAAACUGCCUGGUGUAACCACAGAAUCUUAAGAAAUAAUAAAUGAUUUUAAUCCAA